GCUCACGUUGUCACGAUCAAGCCCUGAGCGACAGCUAAAUAAUCAUUAACCCAUACACUGAGUGCAUAAAAGCUAAGCUUAAAAACCUGGGGAAGUGAACGGGCCAGCCGCAUUACCAGAUACACAAAAUUGGCCUACUUUGCAGAUUCCCAUUCCCUAAUUCGUUUCAUUAUCAUAUAUCCCACUUCAUUCCUUAACGUAGUUCUUAGUUUAACAAGCAAUAAACAGGCAACAGGCAUCUUACUGUCAAAGAAUAAUGUUUUCUUUUAUUUAAACGGCAAUUAUUCACUUCCUAACCAAAAAUCGCACACUGGACUCUGGGACGGUAUUCAUAGAUACUUCAAUUCGCGCACCUAAAGUGCCUGCAGCAAACGAUCGUAUGUUGAUGAUAUUUUUCGGACAAAUAAAGGUGUGCGCACACUGAUGAGACGCUGAGCAGCUCGCUGUUUAGCGCCUUGAGAGUUUGCAUGUAAUCAAUUACGCAAACAAAUUCCUGUAAAUAUAUUUGUUUCUUUCUAAAUCGAAGGUCAGAAGAGAUUAAAAAAGACGCCAAGAUUUUCCCUAUUAACGUAGGCCUUUGAAAAUGGGUACCCGCAAAGAAAAGUAAUACGAUCUCCGUCAAGUUCUCCAAUAAUGCAGAUCUGAAGGACGCGAUGGCGUCUUCUAUAGAGAGGAGCAAAAAGAACGUCCGCUAACUGACAUCUAGAAGAGCCAUGAGUAGCCAUUGCCAAGAAACUGGGCGCCUUUCCUGCAAUAUUAGCGGUACAAUCCCGUUCCCAUCCCGGAUCCAACUCGCCCAAGACCCAUGCUGGCAUAUUUAAUAUCUUCGUUUACACUAAAAAGAAUAAAUAAAUUCUUAGCCGAUAUCAGUACUGGGA